AUCUGGUGGUCCAAAUUGGUGAGGGAAACGGGUUCCUGUUCUGGCAUCAAUGUUGGGCGGGGGAGAGGUGUCUUAAGGAGUUGUUCCCUAGGCUCUUUAGAUUAAGUGAUAAUCAAGAUGGUCUUAUUAAUUGUAUGGGAGGAUGGGAAGAUGGAGUUUGGGUGUGGAAACUUGGAUGGCUUCGAGAGUUGAGGGGGAGAGAAUUGGACCAAUAUCAAACUCUUGUUUCCUUGAUUCAAAACUCUAAUAUUCGUGCAGGUACAACAGAUGGCUGGAGAUGGAAGAAUGACCCGAAAGGAAUUUUUUCGGUUAGCUCGGCAUACAGAAACGUGGGACAGGCUGCAGACAAGGAUAGAAACCAAAACACAGCAACAGAGUUUCUAACGAUUUGGAAAGCACGUGUUCCGUUCAAAACAAAAACCACAGGCUGGAGAAUACUCAAAGGGAGAAUGGCGACAGGUGAAAACCUUCUUAGACGACAAGUCAUCACCCAAAACUUGGAGGCGGUCUGUGAGCUGUGUAAGGAGGAAUUAGAAUCAACAGAUCAUUUUUUUUUCUCAUGUCGAGGAACUCUUGAAAUCUGGUAUGCUCUCUUAUCUUGGCUUGGAAAAACGACGGUUCUUCACUCAAAAGCAAAACAUCAUCUUCUUGCUUUUACAAACUUGGGAAGGAAAACAGACAUUGCUAUUUUAUCAUGUAUUUGGAUAUGUGCUGUUUGGUGUAUGUGGAAAGGAAGAAAUGAAUGCAAAUUCAACCAUGGUGAAUGGAAAACGGAAAAUGUGGUGGCAGAAAUUAAGUCAAGAAUUUGGGGAUGGAAAGCAGCUUAUAAUUUGGAGAUACAAACCUCAGAUUUUAGAAGUUGGUUUCGAGAAGCAAAGUUGUUGAAUUAGGAGCAGGUUUCUGGUUUACUGUAAUGUGGAGAGUUUGUGGAGUUACUUUUGUUUGUUUCUUUUUUUUUUUGAGGGCAUUCAUGCUGGACUCCCUUCAUGUACUCUUUAUUUGGCUUUCGGUACCUCUGGUACCAUUGCUCCAUGGCAAUACAUCUCUUUUUUCCUGAUCAAAAAAAAAAAAAAAAAAAAAAAAAAAAAAAAAUUACCGAUCCCAUUAGAUAUUUUCCGGCCAAAUUCAUCUAAUCAUUUCCUUUUUUUUUUUGGUGUUGUAAUAUUUUAUGUGUUGUGUUGUUGUUUGGGAUUGAGUACCCCUUGUACUCACUUUUCUAAUAAACAAUUUUACCUUUUAAAAAAACUUUAUAAAUUAUGUAAGAGUUUAUAAGUUCAUUCAAAAUGUUUGACAAAAUAAGUUGUUAAACAACUUAUAAGCUUAAAUAGAGAAUUUAGAUACAUAAGAACAAAAAAAUAUGGGGAUGUGUCAUGCAUGAUAGAUGAUUGAAUUAUAUUUCCAUAAUAUUGAUUUAUUUCUAAUAUUUUUUUAUAUAUAUAUUUUUAGUCGGUGGUGACCAAAAAAAAAUUAAUGAGGGAUUUAAUAUUUUUAAAAAUAUAUAUGAAUUAGUAAUGCAUAAAUUCUCUUGAAUAAAUGCACAAAUUACAUUUAAUGCAAUAGUUUAUUCAUAAAAUUAUUUAAAAUACAAUAUAAAAUUAAGAAGUCAUAAAUUAAGAAUUUAGAAAAAUAAAGAAAGAAAUAUAAUUAUGGAAUUGGAGUAUAAAUUAAGAACUUAGAAGAAAAAAAAUUAAGAACUUAGAGAAAAGAAUGGUUAUGUAGUAAAAAAUACCCCUAAUGUUUAUAUUAGAAACAAAAUAAACCUCUAACGUUCACAAAUUAGGGCAAAUAAGUUCCUAAGGGGCACUUACUUUACAUGACUGAUAAGAUGCAUGAUUGAGUAUUUUGAUCCUUAAUACUAGGAUUUUUCCAAUUUCACAUUUUUAUAGGUAUAAAAAUCAAAUAUUAUCUUAAAUGAUAAAAAUAAUCAAGGGUUUUUUGGGAUAUCCUAAAGUUUCAAUCAAUCAAAGUAAAAAGAAAUUAUCCUAAUUAUUUUUAUCUAUCAAGUGUAAUCCUUUAAAGUAAACAUCCAUAAUAUUCACAACCAUUAGACAAAGUGACUUAUUUGCCCCAAUUUGUUAACGCUAUUUUUCCUCAAUUUAUAAACGUUAAAGAAGUAAUUGCACAAAACAUAACAUUAGAGAUCUAUAUGUCUUUUAUAUACACUAUCUCCGUUCCAUAAAGCAUGAUCCAGUUCUUUUCGGCACGAGAAUUAAUAAAUUUGUAUUUUGUGUGUUAAGUGUGACAGGUGCAAAAAGUGAAAAGAUGAAUAAAGGAUAAAUUUUUUGUUAUUUUUAGAAACAAGUCAAGAUUCAUGGGACAAACCAAAAAGAAAACUGGGUCAUGCUUCGUGGGACAAAGGGAGUAAAUAUUAAAAGUGUAUUUACUACUUAAUGCUCGUUUGGUUCAAGUAGAGGAAUGAAAAGAGAAUGAAAUCAAAUAAAGGAGUGGAAUGGUAACAAUAACCAUUACUUUUAUUGAGUGUUUGGUUUAACAAUGGAAAUGAAUCAUUAGUAAGAGAUUGGGGUAACAAAUUGGGUGAUUGGAUUACCCUCAAGUAAGACUAAUGAUUAUCUCAUUACUCAAACCAAACAACAAGUAAUGAAUUCAAUUACUUGAUUCCCUUUCCAACCUCUAAAAACACCCAACCAAACGUGGACUUAAUCCUUAUUAAUAUUACACUUUAUAUGGGAUCAUGACAUUUUUUAAAGUGAAUACAUUCAAUCAUUUUUAUUAAAAUUUAUGUGGUUUAAAGUACUCCCUCCGUCCACGAAAUGAGUACCCAUAUUUCCUUUUUCGUCUGUCCACGAAAUGAGUACCCAUUUCCAUUUUUGGCAAGUGUACCCCACACAUCUCUUUAAUUAAUACACUCAAAAAGUGAGACCCUUAAACUAUUCACACUACACUCCAUACAUUUCUUAAAACUCGUGCCGUCCACAAAUGGGUACUCAUUUCGUGGACGGAGGGAGUAAUAUUUUUAUGACAAAAGUUUUAAAUAGUACUAGUAAUUAAUAAUUCGUUGAGCGAAGAAACCUGGUAUAUUGUUUAAUUUGAUUUGACUUCACAAAUAAAAUAACUAGAGUCAAAACCCUCGUAUUGCAUGAAGUGCGUGGAAACGACAAAUUGCUGAUCCUCAUAGAUAUCCGAGGUACUGGGAAAUCUUGUGUACUAGUCUAAUAUUCGGAUUUUCAACACAAGGGUUUAAAAUAUGUACUUGAAUAUAAUCUUUAAUUUUUUGAUAAAUUAUAAAUAAAUAAAGAAAUUUAUAGAUUGCACCGUGAUGAACUCGAACCUAGAACUUGAGGCCUUAAACAUUAGUCACUUACAGCUAAAUUGACACACGCACAAAAAGUUUCUUUAUUUGACAAAAGUUUUAUCCUUUAUUUAUUUUUUGGGCGUUUCUCACCUAUCUUGAGACACUUUUUAUUUUGGGCGUCUCAUCUAUCUUGAGAUAUUUUUUUAUUUGACAAUUUAUAUUUAUUUUUAUUUAUUUUUACUUAUACAUAAAAUAUUAUUUUUAAAAUUUUCGUGACAAAAAAAAAAUCUCAAGAUAGUCGGAACAACUAGAGUACUGCAAAAGAAGUACUCCCAAGUAUCAGUGUGAUGAACUUUUGGUCUGUCAAAACAAUCACAUAAGUGUUUGUAUUGCUUUAAGGAUUUAUUGAAUUUUAAAAAUAAAGUAACUAUAUAUAGUUUUGUCAUGCAAAAAUAAUUAUUUAUUAAAGGUGGGCAUAUGUUCCUUAAGCAUUAAUUUGACAUAUAAUGAUAGAUAUACUUAUUUGCUACGUUCUAUUUAAUUUGUCAUUUUUGAACUGUAUCGAUACAAAUGAUCAUUUUCCAAAAAAAACAAAAAAUAAAAAAGAAACACACAUUUAAUUUUAUCUCACAAAAAAUUAUAAGUUCCACUAUUUUGUAUCACUUUUAUUCUUUAAUCACUCUUUUUUUUUUAAUAAUCAUACUUAAAAGUAAGUGGCCAUACUUAGUGGGACAGAGAAAGUAUUUAUUUAUUUUUGACAAAACACGUUCUUAAGCUUCUCUAGUUUUUAUAUACGUUUCAUUUUAAUAGAUAUUUGUACAAUUUUUUAUCACAAUAUUUCUUCAUGUUUUUAUAAUUGUUAUUUUCAGGUCCUUAUUCAAAGAAACUAAUGAAUUUAUUAUAUUUGUUACUCCAUUUGCACUCAAAUAAAAUCCAUAUCACAUAUGCGAAAACUACACUUAUUUGCGAGCACCAAUUGUGAACAUCACUGAAAUGUAAUCCCUAUUAAUUAUUUUCUUUUUCAUUUUAUUUUUUCUCUUAUACCCUUACAAUCAUAAUUAAUUGGGACCAACAAAUUUAUAUUUUAUAUAAAAAUCAAAUCCUAAUUUAUUAUUUCUCCAUUUAACUUCAAUGAAGGGGACGAAAUUAAGAAAUUGGGCUUUAUCUUUUGAUUAAAUGCACCAAAAUACACAAAUUUUAGUAUAAUGAGUUUCAUUUUCCACAAUUUUUUUUCUAAAAAGAUCAUGAACUUUAUCCUCCAUCUUUUAACGCUUUUUAAUUUUCAAAAGGAGAGAAGGACAAUUCGUAGUCGCAUGAUUCAAAUACUUUAAUAAUUGAUGAGAACUUGAAGUUUUUUUUAGAAUAUUAAGCAAAAAAAAAAAAAAAACUCUUAAUCUCAAGCGUGGAAGGUUUUAAUUUGAGAAAAUAUUUUGAAAUUCAAUUAAAAUUAUAGACAAAAGAAAUCCCUUAAAAUAAAUUAAAGUCGCCCCUCUUGAUAUCAUAUUCAUGGAUAGGAGCUCACGUGACGCCACGUCAAUUUGAAUUUGGUCGAAAUUGCAAAUCAUAGAAAAAAUAGUUUAAUGCCUUUAACCUUUAAUUUUAUAUAAUUUAUAAAUUUGAUUACCACAAUCGCAAUUUGUAGCUUGUGUAUAAAAGCAAAAAUAAAAUGGAAAAAAAAUGCAAACAUAGACUAUAUGUAAGUUUACAGUAAAGACGUAGAAAUAACACGAUAAAUCGAUUUUAUAAUAAUUAAUUUAUUUACUUCCAUAAAUAUAUAGUAUAUACUAGGAUUGAAUAGAAACGAAAAGUAGACAAGGAGACAUACAGCAGUGUGAAAAGGCACAAAACAUAUUCACGAGUGAAGACAUCAGCAUAUUAUUUUGCUGCUUCUGAAUUUAGUGCUUCAAAAUUUAUUACAAGUCACCGCCAAUUUACACGUUACCGAAUUUAUUGUUUGUCUUGUUUUCAUUACAGAAUGUUAUUAUUCGCGUAUUUAUUCUGAUUUUUUAAGCCAUCACCCGUUUUCGAAAUAUAAUAUUAUCCCAUCAUAUUCUAUAGUAUUACAGUUCACCCAUCCUUCGUUUUGCGCCACCUCGAACUAAUAACUUCAAUAAGAAAUAAAGAAAGAAAUUAUAUAGUCCAUUUCACAAUAUAAAUUGUGUUAAGUUAUGAUAUUAAGGGCGUGUUUGAUAUUGACUAAUACAUUGUAUUAGUUAAUUUAGUACAAAUCAGUCUAGUGUUUGGUACUCCUUCCGUCCCAGCCCAAUAGGCUCGUUUUCCUUUUUGGGACGUCCCAGCCCAAUAGGUUCAGUCUUAAAUUGAAAAUAAUUAGGAUCUUCUUAAUUUUUAAUUAAGGAAAGAUAGAAAACUCUAAUAUUCAUUUCUCACUUCAACUUCAUUCCUCCCCACACUCUCUCUCUCUUCGACUUCCCCUCCCCUCUUCAACGGCCAGAGCGUCGCCGCCGACACCAGAGCUCCGGCGACACUCUCUCUCUCUUCGACUUCCCCUCGCCUCUAGAAUAUUCCGGCGAACAGCGGCAGCAGACGGAGCCUACCGGCAUCCCCCUCAGAUCUCGCUUCCCCCUAGCAGCAGACGGAGCCUCCACUUCGAUCGAAGCAGCGCCAACCUCGCCACCGCCAUCCCCCUCAGAUCUCGCUUCCCCCUAGCAGCAGACGGAGCCUCCACUUCGAUCGAAGCAGCGCCCAACCUCGCCACCGCCAUCCCCCUCAGAUCUCGCUUCCCCUCACCAAGUCACCAGAUCCCGGCGACUUCAUUCCUCCACCGCCUGUACCGCCUUCACCGCGUCCACCGCCUCUACCCUCCACCGUCUCCACCGCGUUCACCGCCUCCACCGCCUGUACCGGCUUCAUUCUAAAUUGAUUUUCGUGAUUUGCUGUCAAAUGGGUAGAAGGACUAGAAAUGCGUAGAAUUAUCAAUUGAUUUUCGUGAAAUGGGUAAUUAUCAAUUGAUUUUCGUUCUUGAUUUUUCGUUCUUGAAGCUCCGUUCUUGAAGCUUGUUGAAUUGUUGAAGCUGGUUGAAGCUUCGUACAUGGUGAAAUGGGUUGCCGAAAGUUUGGUUCUUGAAGCUUGUUGAAUUGUUUGAAUUGUUGAAGCUUGAAGAAGAAUGAAUUGUUGAAGCUUGAAGAAAAUGAAUUUCGGCAGUUUAGAUUUAAUCUUGAAGAAGAUUGAAUUGUUGAGCAUUUAGAUUUAAUCUUGAAUGUUUAGAUGAGCAAAGUAAUUAAAUGAGAUUAAAAAAAAUAAGGGAACACUUAAAACCUUAAUUAUUGGUGGACCACAUCAUUUACCUACCAAAAGUUGAGUUUCUUAAUCUCCGUGCCGAAAAGAACUGGGCCUAUUGGCCUGGGACGGAGGGAGUAUUAUUUAGUAAUAAUGCGGAUGACCCGGUUUAAUCUCACAACCCAGUAUUAGUAAUCCAGAUUUCUUAGGAUUAAUAAUACCACCUCCCCCUAGGAUUAACUUAAACCAGGAUAUUCUGUAUUUAGCCAUGAUAGCAAACACCAACUCAUUAUUAAUAAUCUGUCAUUAUCCACGCUAAAUACCUUGGUUACAAAUUAUUCUAUAUAAUCCUUUACUGAAAACCAAACGAGGGGUUAACGCAAAAUUAAUCCUUCAAUUUGUACUUCGAUUUCAUUAUACGCGUUUUGUUUGUAUCAUUAUUCGUGUAUGUAUGUAUUUGAAAAAUCGAAAAAACUCAUCAGCAAUCGUCAGUCAUAAUAAUUGGAGUAAUCAAUAUAGAUAAUUACUUAAUAAAAAUAAAUUAAAAGUUUAAAUAUAUUAAUUUAUAGUUAUGGUUUAUUAGUUUUUAAUUAAAAUUUAUUAUUUCUAAUUAUAAAUUUAAUUAAAAUGGGUGCAUAAUGCAUUCCUACUUAUAUAUAUAUAUAUAUAUGCUUUUAAAUGUAUUUAUUUAUUUAUAUGCACCCACUUUAAUACUUUAAAUAACAUACGUAUCAUUUAAUAAAAUAUAUUUUAUAUGUUUCAUAUGUAUUACUAUAUCUCUUGAACUGUAGCUAGUGGAAGCGCCGUCUGCGAGUUGGUGACCUAUUUAAUGUUAAAUGGGUUUCGGCACGUUUCAAUUUCAUAUAUGACUACUUCAAGUUCAUUUAGUCAGUACCAUAAUAUAUUCAAUUUAUAUUUUUUUUUGUUAUCAUACAUUGACUAUAUAUAUAUAAGUAUAUCACAAUAAAUUUUUAAAAGAUAUCACUAUAAUUGUAAACUAAUCACCUCUUGUUAUUUUUCAUUAAUAUAUAACGAAUUAUUGAUUUGAAAUAAAGAUUCUUACUAUUCCACCUAUUAUUGAGAAAAAUUAGUCAAAAUUAAUCAUAUGUGAAUCAUGUCCAAGUUUGACUCAACCAGUAUAAUAGUAAUUAAAAAGGGUUGAAUUAUUUGAUCACUAUAUUAGUGUCCAACUUGUCCUAUUCACAACCGCGUUACACUCUAAAUGCAUGGGUCUUAAAUUUCAAUCUUGGUAAAUUCGAACUUAGCUGGCAUAAUCAAUUCCACUUCUAAUUUAACAAAACUAUGGAAAUUGUACAAUUUUCUAUUGCCUCCGCCACUUUGGGCGAUCUCGUAAUCAUAUAAAUUUCGAUGUUACGUAUCAUUAUCCAAAAUAUUACCAGCUAUUUUUGAAUGUUAGGAAAACUGAUUGUGACUAUUUUUGGACGUGUUCACAUUUAUUAAGGUUGGUGAAUAUGCCCACUCAACCUAAUACUUCCAAGUAUGACCAUUACGUUGAGGAUUUAAAAGCAAUUUGUAGUUGUAAUUAUAUACAUACAUACAAAACAUAGUAAUUCUUUUAAAAAUAAAAUAAAUUUAUAUAUGUAUAUACAAACAUAUGCUAGCUUGGCGUUUGCCUUGAUUGUUUGACUCGUAAAAAGAUAGACGUUUUAUAUAGUUUGGUUCAAAUCCAACUUUUACUUUUAAGUCCAGAUAAUCAUGCCCAUUACACUAUAUCAAAAUAGUUAAAUUAAUGAUAAUUAUAAACCCGAAUAUACAAUGUCUUUCACAUAAAUUGGGAAAGAAUCAGUCCAAACAGUUGGACUUUCAACUUGCGCAGAAUAUUGCGCAAAAAAAUUUGACCUUGAAUUUAUAUGGCGUGAUUAGGAUUUUAACCAUAUUAUUCAUUUGUUAGGUAAAAAAAAAACUUAUUAGUAGCUAGAGUUUUAGAUUUAAUUUCCUCGAGAUUUGGUCUCUGUUUGACUAUCUGAUUAGUCUUAAUUAACCAUUAAUGACAAUGUUUUUUACAAUAAUUUCAUAUAAAUUUUACAAUAUCGAAAUCGAAAUGCUAUAUUAUAUACUAUGUAAUAAUUUAAAAAUUAAUCUUUUUCUAUAAAAUUAUAUUUCGAGAAUCAAUAUGCCACCGAAACCAGGCGGGCCACUACAAAUUGACAACUCCAUGCAAUUCCUUAUCCAGCCAAACAAUUAACUUUAUUUAAUAUCUAAAAUCCAAAAUAUGAUUAAAAAAAUAUAUAUGACAUAAAGAUGUGCAUUGUAUGUAUACAUUUUUAUUCUCCUGAAUUUUCAUUUUGUUUUAUCAUUCUAGUCUAUGUAUAUUACAUAAAUAUAUUAAUUAACUUGAGAAUACCUAUACGAAAUAAUAAUUCUUUAGGGAGAAUCGAACAUCUUUUAUUAUUCCCCACCCCAUGAAUUAAGACUUGUGUUAAUGUGAUUGAACUCUACUUAUUAAUGCUCACAAUUAUAGUUACAUUGUUAAUAAUAGCACUUUAUAAUUCCAUCAUGUUCCAACUGAAAAAAAAAAAACAAUCAUAUUGAUCGCACGCCGUAUUUAAUUUUGAAGGCUUACUUACAUUUGUUCUUCUUUUGAAAAAAAGUCUAUAUUUUUAAAAUUUACUCUUCUAUAAUAGUCCAAUUAAAAUUUCUUUCAAUUCGAUGGAGAAAAGAAAACCUCAAACUAACUUGUAAACUAUCAAAAAAAUAUUCACACAAUCUAAUUUUACAAUAAAAUCACUUCUAGAGAAGUCGGUUCGCUAAAUAUAAAUGCAUAUACAAGUGAAUUUACUCUUCUAUAAAUAAACAAAACUAGAUGAAUAUUAAAGAACCAAAAUAUUCGGAUUGUACUUCAUUCAUUCAAUUAAAAAUGAUAAAAGCUCGACAAAGUGAAAAAUAAAUUUAACUCAAAUACAAUUGUCGACAUUUAGAUAAGAAAUCAUACGAACCUCGACAUUAAUGAGAGAGAGAGAGAGAGAUCUUAACCGAGCCACCUCUGAUAAGAUUGGAUCCCACUCCGCAGUAGAAUUUCUUCACAGUCCCACCAAUUUGUAUGCAUAUAUAUAUAUAACCCCUUUCCACCUCGUUGCAAUCUCUCCUUCAUCUCUACUCUCUAGCUGGAAUUUCCUGCUCCCAUUCAGUAAUGUGAUCUGAAGCUAAGUGUGAAAUUUUAGUGUGAGAGUGUGAAAUCAAGGGGUGAUGGAGGGUUUUGAGAAACGACAAAUAAACCUUGGGUUUUGAGAAAUUCAUGAAAACUUGCCCCAGAAUUUAGCUGAAAGUGAGGGCUCUCUUGUUUCUAGCAAAGUUUGCAUCUUUUGAGGUACACACUGACGCCCAGUAAUUUUUGUUAUUCUUUUCUGUUUGUUUUUGAUUCAUUUGGUGCAAUUGAUCCAAAUGGGUUUUGCGUUUUUGGUUUUGGGAGUGAUUUGAACUGAAUUCACUUCACCUUCAAUUCAGUGAUUUUUAUUUUCAGUAACUGGAAUCUUAGUUGUGUUUUUCAGAUAUACUCCUUAACUUAUCACUUAUAUUGGUUUCUUGAUUUGGAUUCUGUAUUUCCCAUUUCUAGUUUUAGUUCAAGUCACAUGUACACUGCAAAGCUUCCUCUUUUAGAUUUGAUAUCUAUGUAUUCUCCACAAAUCACGCCAUGUAUCUGCAUCUAUGUGUUUUCCAUAAAUCACGGCGUGUGCUAUAUAUAUUGAUGUUAGAGGAUCUAGUAUCAGAUUUGGAAAUAGGGGAUUCCAAAUUCACCUAGUUUCUUUAUAAUAUCAGUUUGCCCUCCCUUUUCUUUUCUUUUUUCCUUCUUUUUUUCUGUUUUGAUUGGUAUUGAUUCUUUAUCUGUUGUGUGAUCAUUCCUUUCUGGAGUUGUUUAGGUAGUGAGUAAGAUGUCGAGGCCUCUUCACAGGGGUGUAUUGAGUGGCGGUGGGCGAGUCUCGGGGAAUAGUCAUGAUUAUUGGGAGGAUUCUCAGAAGAAAGAUAGGUUGGAGAAGGAAGAUGUGAAAAUUCAGCCAAAUGGAGCUGAUGCCACACACCAUUUGUCUUUGAAAAACCCUUUUCGCUUUCUUUUCACGAAUAAUCAUCCGUCUUCGACUCACAAUUUGGGGGAGCACGGCUUUGUAUCGGACCCCUUCAGUCCAGGGGUUGUUAGGAGUUGGCAGAAAGUGAUACUCUCCUUUAUCAAAUUCAGUUUAGUAGNUAUUUGAGAAAUAUAAGGAAAGGAUAAUUUUAGUAAAACCAUAAAUUAGCAAAAAACCGGUUCAAUCAAAAAUCCACAUAAAAACCGGUUAAAACCUAGGUGUCUAGACACCUUGGUGUCUAAAAAUCACUACUCCUAUGGAAAUUGUACAAUUUUCUAUUGCCUCCGCCACUUUGGGCGAUCUCGUAAUCAUAUAAAUUUCGAUGUUACGUAUCAUUAUCCAAAAUAUUACCAGCUAUUUUUGAAUGUUAGGAAAACUGAUUGUGACUAUUUUGGACGUGUUCACAUUUAUUAAGGUUGGUGAAUAUGCCCACUCAACCUAAUACUUCCAAGUAUGACCAUUACGUCGAGGAUUUAAAAGCAAUUUGUAGUUGUAAUUAUAUACAUACAUACAUACAAAACAUAGUAAUUCUUUUAAAAAUAAAAUAAAUUUAUAUAUGUAUAUACAAACAUAUGCUAGCUUGGCGUUUGCCUUGAUUGUUUGACUCGUAAAAAGAUAGACGUUUUAUAUAGUUUGGUUCAAAUCCAACUUUUACUUUUAAGUCCAGAUAAUCAUGCCCAUUACACUAUAUCAAAAUAGUUAAAUUAAUGAUAAUUAUAAACCCGAAUAUACAAUGUCUUUCACAUAAAUUGGGAAAGAAUCAGUCCAAACAGUUGGACUUUCAACUUGCGCAGAAUAUUGCGCAAAAAAAUUUGACCUUGAAUUUAUAUGGCGUGAUUAGGAUUUUAACCAUAUUAUUCAUUUGUUAAGUAAAAAAAACUUAUUAGUAGCUAGAGUUUUAGAUUUAAUUUCCUCGAGAUUUGGUCUCUGUUUGACUAUCUGAUUAGUCUUAAUUAACCAUUAAUGACAACGUUUUUUACAAUAAUUUCAUAUAAAUUUUACAAUAUCGAAAUCGAAAUGCUAUAUUAUAUACUAUGUAAUAAUUUAAAAAUUAAUCUUUUCUAUAAAAUUAUAUUUCGAGAAUCAAUAUGCCACCGAAACCAGGCGGGCCACUACAAAUUGACAACUCCCUGCAAUUCCUUAUCCAGCCAAACAAUUAACUUUAUUUAAUAUCUAAAAUCCAAAAUAUGAUUAAAAAAAUAUAUAUGACAUAAAGAUGUGCAUUGUAUGUAUACAUUUUUAUUCUCCUGAAUUUUCAUUUUGUUUUAUCAUUCUAGUCUAUGUAUAUUACAUAAAUAUAUUAAUUAACUUAAGAAAUACCUAUACGAAAUAAUAAUUCUUUAGGGAGAAUCGAACAUCUUUUAUUAUUACCCCACCCCAUGAAUUAAGACUUGUGUUAAUGUGAUUGAACUCUACUUAUUAAUGCUCACAAUUAUAGUUACAUUGUUAAUAAUGAGCACUUUAUAAUUCCAUCAUGUUCCAACUGAAAAAAAAAACAAUCAUAUUGAUCGCACGCCGUAUUUAAUUUUGAAGGCUUACUUACAUUUGUUCUUCUUUUGAAAAAAAGUCUAUAUUUUUAAAAUUUACUCUUCUAUAAUAGUCCAAUUAAAAUUUCUUUCAAUUCGAUGGAGAAAAGAAAACCUCAAACUAACUUGUAAACUAUCAAAAAAAUAUAAAAAAAUAUUCACACAAUCUAAUUUUAUAAUAAAAUCACUUCUAGAGAAGUCGGUUCGCUAAAUAUAAAUGCAUAUACAAGUGAAUUUACUCUUCUAUAAAUAAACAAAACUAGAUGAAUAUUAAAGAACCAAAAUAUUCGGAUUGUACUUUCAUUCGAUUCAAUUAAAAAUGAUAAAAGCUCGACAAAGUGAAAAAUAAAUUUAACUCAAAUACAAUUGUCGACAUUUAGAUAAGAAAUCAUACGAACCUCGACAUUAAUGAGAGAGAGAGAGAGAGAUCUUAACCGAGCCACCUCUGAUAAGAUUGGAUCCCACUCCGCAGUAGAAUUUCUUCACAGUCCCACCAAUUUGUAUGCAUAUAUAUAUAACCCCUUUCCACCUCGUUGCAAUCUCUCCUUCAUCUCUGCUCUCUAGCUGGAAUUUCCUGCUCCCAUUCAGUAAUGUGAUCUGAAGCUAAGUGUGAAAUUUUAGUGUGAGAGUGUGAAAUCAAGGGGUGAUGGAGGGUUUUGAGAAACGACAAAUAAACCUUGGGUUAUGAGAAAUUCAUGAAAACUUGCCCCAGAAUUUAGCUGAAAGUGAGGGCUCUCUUGUUUCUAGCAAAGUUUGCAUCUUUUGAGGUACACACUGACGCCCAGAAUUUUUGUUGUUCUUUUCUGUUUGUUUUUGAUUCAUUUGGUGCAAUUGAUCCAAAUGGGUUUUGCGUUUUGGUUUUGGGAGUGAUUUGAACUGAACUCACUUCACCUUCAAUUCAGUGAUUUUUAUUUUCAGUAACUGGAAUCUUAGUUGUGUUUUUCAGAUAUCUCCUUAAUUUAUCACUUAUAUUGGUUUCUUGAUUUGGAUUCUGUAUUUCCCAUUUCUAGUUUUAGUUCAAGUCACAUGUACACUGCAAAGCUUCCUCUUUUAGAUUUGAUAUCUAUGUAUUCUCCACAAAUCACGCCAUGUAUCUGCAUCUAUGUGUUUUCCAUAAAUCACGGCGUGUGCUAUAUAUAUUGAUGUUAGAGGAUCUAGUAUCAGAUUUGGAAAUAGGGGAUUCCAAAUUCACCAGUUUCUUUAUAAUAUCAGUUUGCCCUCCCUUUCUUUUCUUUUUUCCUUCUUUUUUUCUGUUUUGAUUGGUAUUGAUUCUUUAUCUGUUGUGUGAUCAUUCCUUUCUGGAGUUGUUUAGGUAGUGAGUAAGAUGUCGAGGCCUCUUCACAGGGGUGUAUUGAGUGGCGGUGGGCGAGUCUCGGGGAAUAGUCAUGAUUAUUGGGAGGAUUCUCAGAAGAAAGAUAGGUUGGAGAAGGAAGAUGUGAAAAUUCAGCCAAAUGGAGCUGAUGCCACACACCAUUUGUCUUUGAAAAACCCUUUUCGCUUUCUUUUCACGAAUAAUCAUCCGUCUUCGACUCACAAUUUGGGGGAGCACGGCUUUGUAUCGGACCCCUUCAGUCCAGGGGUUGUUAGGAGUUGGCAGAAAGUGAUACUCUCCUUUAUCAAAUUCAGUUUAGUAGUCAUUGUGAUUCUUGCUCUGACUGGUUCAUACUGGUGGUCGCUUUCUAUAGCCUCAACAUCGAGAGGUCAAGUAUUCCAUGGAUAUAGGCGACUUCAAGAGCAGCUGGUCUCCGACAUGUAUGAAAUUGGGGAGCUUUCUCUUAGUUCUUCGAGGUUUAGGGAAUUAGAGUACUGUUCUCAGGAGUCGGAGAACUAUGUUCCGUGCUUCAAUGUCUCGGAGAAUCUUGCUUUGGGAUUCACUGGGGGCGAAGAAUAUGGCCGCCAUUGUGUGCACGGGUUGAAGCAUAACUGCUUGGUUCUUCCACCUGUGAACUAUAGGAUUCCUCUACGGUGGCCUGCUGGAAAAGAUAUAAUCUGGUUUGCGAAUGUUAAUAUUACAGCACAGGAGGUCCUGUCUUCUGGUAGUUUGACUAAGAGGUGAGUCUCAUAAGCCGAAUUGAAGUUGGUCUUGGGUCUUUCUUCUAUCUGAUAUCUUUAUUCUUUUCUCCAUCGUGUGAUCGCAGGAUGAUGAUGUUGGAUGAAGACCAGAUUUCCUUUCGUUCGGUGUCUUCUACCUUUGAUGUUGAAGAUUAUUCUCAUCAAAUUGCAGAAAUUAUUGGGCUUAGAAAUGAGUCCUCAUUUAUACAAGCUGGAGUAAGUGGAAACCAUCAUACAUUUUUCUUUGCAUGAUUCAGCACCUUUUGAGUGAAGUGCCCCUAUUGCAGCAGAUGUGGGAAAUAAUGAUCAUUCGAUACUUAAAUUAUGCUGUGAAAGCAUGACAGUGAUCUGGCAGUUACCUGAUAUUUGUCUAUCUAGCCAUUUAUGAGGAGUGAUAUGACCUUGUUCGCUGAAAGCAUUUGAGCCCUUGUUAAUUGGAUCUUCACAUCUCGGCUGAUCAUGCAUUUAGUACUGCAUUUUAUUAUAAGAGCAGAAUGGGGCAGAUCAUUUGCAUUAGCAAGUUGUUAUAUUUUACAGCAUGAGCUAUGUAUGUGGCAAUCUUUGAUGUGUUUCAUACUUAAUAACUUCUUCUCAGGGUUCUGAAAUACGAAUAUACAUUUUUUGUUCCCUUUUUCAGGUCAGAACAAUCCUGGACAUAGAAUGUGGUUAUGGUAGUCUUGGGGCACGUUUAUCUUCGUACCAACUAUUAACCAUGUGUUUAGCAAACUAUGAGGCGUCAGGCAGUCAAGUUCAGCUAACUCUGGAAAGGGGUCUCCCAGCAAUGAUUGGUUCAUUUACGUCUAAGCAGCUCCCGUAUCCAUCUAUAUCGUUUGACAUGAUUCAUUGUGCAAGAUGUCGAGUUGAUUGGGACACUAAAGGUACUCUCGAUUCUGUAACUAUUUUGUUUUUUUCUCUAUUGUCUCUUCUUUUAAAUGUCUAUAUUUUUUAAUGGUUAGAAAGAAAAUAUUCUAGAAGUUACUUGAUUACUAUGUGGAAAAGAGAUGCAUUUCAGAUUAGACAAGAAAAUUUUCUUCAAUCAUUACUCUCUGGUCAAUUCACAUGUGAAACAAUUAAUGGUAAAAUGAAGCGAAAACUUUUUCACUGUUUAGAUGCAAUUUUUUUUCUUGCACUAAUGCCAUCAUAGACAAAAUUCAUUUAAUUGAUUGUUUGCUAGAUACAUACGGUUCAGGUUGAGUAUUACCUCUGUGUGUAUUUUAUACAUUACAGUUGUUGAGUUAGAUCCCAAAAAGUUUAAAGAACCUCCUUUUAUUUUUUAUAUUGACUCGAAUAUUUGCUUCAGGUUUUGCAAUUUCUACGUCAAAUGCGGUUCAUGCCCUAUAGAUCCCUAAUUUCUCUAGAAAACUUGUAUUGUUUUCCAAGAACACUUGCAUAAGAUUAGAAGCAUCGGUUCUGAAACUUGGAAAGAUGAUUCUUGCCUUGUUGCUUUCAGAAUCUUCAAGAACUGCAUGAUCAAUAUAGUUUUCACGGUUUGUUCUGUAACCAAGUGUUUCCUUCAGAAAAUAUGUCUUGUGCUAUUUUAAACUUUACCGUACCUUUUUUGAACAUUAACUGUAGAAGCUUACAUGAAAAGCUAUACUGAUAAAGCAAAGUAAUGCAAUUGUAAUGAGCUUGAGUCGAGUUCUGCUCCGAUCUCUAAUUAUUCUCUAAUUACAAAUCAAAUGCUCUAGUGUUGUUUCAGAGGCUACAGAGGAAAGUAUCACCAUUCAAAAUAAAUUUCCUACGAUUUAAGUGUAUUAUCUCAUUUAAUGCAGAUGGCAUAUAUUUGGUUGAGGUUGAUCGAUUGUUGCGGCCUGGUGGAUAUUUUGUGUGGACCGAUCCCAUUAUAAACUCUCAGCGUUCCUUACGCAACAAAGCCAACCUGAAAAAAUGGGAUACAGUGCGCCUGGCAGCAGAAAAUCUCUGCUGGGAUAUGCUCCCACAGCAAGACGAAACUGUUGUGUGGAAGAAAACUAGUAAGAAGAAUUGUUACUCCAAAAGGUAAGCAGGGCUAGAAAUGAAUCACUGCAGCUCAAUGAAAUAUUGUUUUUUAUUCUGAAAGUGAAUAUUUCUUGUGUUGUUAUAUAAUAGUAAUAAAUUGAUGGCUGCAUUUGCAAGUGAUUGCAUCAUCCUCAGAAGGAAACGUUUGCUCUUGUUUCCAGGAAAAGUGGUUCCUUUUCUCUGUGUAGUAAGAGCCAUGAUAUAGAGACCCCGUAUUAUCGACCGCUCCCAGCAUGCAUUGGAGGGACUCAAAAUCGCCGUUGGUUUCCCAUUGAAGAAAGGAGAAAAUGGCCUUCACAGGCGGCAUUGACCUCAGCUGAACUUGAACGUUAUGGUAACAUUUACAUUCCCUACUGGUUUCAUUAGUGUGUUCGUUGAUUCGAACUGACUGCUUGGUGCGGAAUACACGUCGUGUUACCUUUUAUUAGCAUCUCCUGAAUGUUUUCAUUUUUGUUUCGUGUAGGCUAUAGCGCGGAAGAGUUUGCAGAGGAUUCUAUAAACUGGAAAUCCGCCGUCCAAGAUUUCUGGUCUCUGCUUUCACCGCUCAUAUUUUCAGAUCAUCCAAAGAGGCCUGGCGACGAAGAUCCUUCUCCGCCUUAUAACAUGCUGAGAAAUGUGCUGGACAUGAAUGCACAUUUGGGAGGAUUUAAUGCUGCCUUAUUAGAGACUAAGAAAUCUGUGUGGGUUAUGAACGUGGUUCCUACAAGCGGUAUUAACAGUCUCCCUUUAAUAGUCGACCGGGGCUUUAUUGGCGUGCUACAUAACUGGUAAUUCUUGCCUUCCAUUACAUAUUAAUCAUAGUUUGAUUCCUUCUUUUGAGACAGCAUUGUAUUUUUGGAAUUUUUGUAGCCAUUAUAAAUCCGAGGAAAAGUUCCUUUCAAUUGUCAUCUUCCUCGGAUCUUCAAUGUAUUUGAAGUUUAUAUGUUUUUUGGCAGGUGCGAACCGUUUCCAUCGUAUCCAAGGACGUAUGAUCUAGUUCACGCGGAAGGACUUCUCUCUCUUGAAUUUUCUGAGCAGCCAAAAUGCCAAAUGAUAGAUAUGUUUGCUGAGAUAGAUCGCUUACUUCGUCCAGAGGUAAUUCUACUUCAAGAUGAUGAUUUAUGAAACAAUAUAUGGAUCUUCAAAUAUAAAUGUGUGCAGUAAAUGACAGUAGAGUUGCCUCAUGAUUUGCAUAAAUGGAUAGGAUAAUCAAGAUCUGAGACAGGACCAUUUAGAUUGCGCAAGUUUGCAUUUCGUAUCUAAAAGCUCAAUUUUAGAUCGAUGGUUCUCAUUCAUGUCUAGAUUUAGUUGCUUUAGUACUGAGUGAAACUGACAGAGUGAAGAUUUUACUCGUGUGCUCUCUCGAUAUGCUGAUCAACGUGAAAAAACACAGGGAUGGUUGAUUCUGAGGGACACCACUCCUCUUAUUGAGUUUGCAAGAUCUCUACAACGCAUCUGAAAUGGGAUGCACGAGUCGUGGAGAUCGAGAGCAACAGCAACGAGAGGCUCCUGAUCUGCCAGAAACCAUUCCUCAAGAGACAAGCCAGCUGAUUUCUGGGGGAAAACGUCGGGUAUCUCUACAUAUCAUAGACGAUAUUAUUCACAUUCAUUUCUUUACUGCAUCUACCUUCUUAAAGCUUCCAUAGAAAUGGUGGAAAGAAAGUUAACAUUGAACAGAAAGCUCGAUAGCACGGUGCAGAAACUGCAUGAUCGCGUUAUUUUUGAUAGCUCUUAUGGAGCCGCAAGGCGUCCUUAAGACCGUGUAACUAGAGAUCGGAGACGAAGGGCAAUGUGGGAGAGAUAUAGGACUUAUAUACCCUUUUGAUGCCUCUUUUUGGGGACAUUUCCAUACAUAUAUAUACUCAACUGUGAUGAUGGAUUUAUAGAAGUAUACAAUAAGCAAAAAUUGGUUUGCUUGUGUAUAGAUAUUCUUUGUUAACUUCUCUACUUGCUGCAUUUAAUGAGUGUUUGUUUGUUUUCAUAACAUUUCUGGGGUUAUUGCCUAUUGCUAGUGGUGGGGAUUUUGAUUUAUAUCACGUCUAUUUAAGAAAUGAAAAUAGUUCCUUUUUUGGGGUAAGGUCAAAACGUGCUAUAGCUAAAAUGACAAAGACCAAGUGCGUCCAAGAUAGACUUGUAGUAUAAUAACGCCCUUUAAUUAAAAGACAAAUUUCAUAAUAUUGGGCAUCUCACUUUGAAGUCUGUAAGCUGAAGAUAAAUUAUUAUUUUUUUUGAUAAAUUAUAUAAGUAAAUAAUGAAAUUUAAAGAUCGCGUCACGGUGAAUUCGAACUCAAAAUCUCAGGUUUUGAAUAUUAAUUACCUACCACUAAACCAAUACAUGCACGCUAUGAAUUGAUUAAUUGAUGAUGUAUGCGGUGAAUGCACAAGAAGUUUAAUUGUUAUCUAAUAACAAAAAGAAGUCCAAAUCGAUUAUAUGGUUAUAAAUGACAAAAAUAUACUUAUUAUUUUCUUUAGUUGAUAAAUAUAUCAAAUCUCAAGUUCUAAGCAAUCAAUGUCAGAAUUAAUAAAUACACAUGUUCAUACCAUUGAUGAUUGGUGCUUUAAUCUCACCCACUCCACAAUUUUACAUAUCCUUUCCCCCCUCCCUUGCUAACAGUCGAAGAUUAUUGAAAACUAAGUUUUAAUUUUAUCUAUUUAGUAGGAUUUGUUGAGGAUUGUGGCUAUUAACACUCCUAAAAUAGUGUAAAUACAAUCCAAUUACAAGGUCAACAAUCAACAGAUUUGAUCGAAGAUCAAACCGAACUGAUGGAAAGGGAAAUCAACAUCAUGGAAAUCACUAAACCAAAACCAAACUGAUUUUCUAGUUUAGUUUUUUUUUUUGAAAGGUCAAUUUUUUUUUAUUUAAAACAACAUGAGUACAAGGAGUACUCAAGAUCAAAAAGUACAAAGAGGAGUGUCUACACACACUAAUAAAAAACAUCUAGCAUAUCCUAGAAGGGAAGCAUCUAAUGGGAUCGGAGAACCAACAAUGAAAAGAAACACAAAAAUCAAAAGGAGAGUUCGCCUUGAACCACCUCCAGAUACAUAUAAUAAUACCAUUAGUAAUCCUACCAAUAUCCGGACACCCUUCAUUAAAAAUUUUAUCGUUCUUUCCUUCGAUCUUCCAACAAGCUGGUAAAUGACAUUGAACAUCAUCCCGGCGGCUCUUAUGCUUACCCAAUCGCAACUCAUAAAAGGAUUACAAAGAGAAGUUGAACAGGCAACGGCUUCUGGGUCUAUAUUCCGAUUGAUCCUAACGGCGAGAGACAAGAUUGUACGUGCUGUUCUGUUUCUACCGGGCUGAGACUUUCGUGUGUGGAGUUUAGGGGCGAUCACUCAGUCUUUUUUCAAUCUUCGGGUGCGCUCGGGAUUGAGGCUGAUUUGGGUUUGCCAUGUUGGUGGCCUCACGAUGGAAGCUUUCAUUCUUCAUCGGUGGGGAAUCUCUUCGGACAACGAGCUUUGGUCGGUGAUGCGUUGGUUCCGGCUCUUUUAUGAGCGUAUUUUUCAGAAUACCGUCUUCUUAGCGGUUUUGGACUUGGUUUUCUCUCUAAGGAAGAAUCUGAUCGAGCUUUUGGGGGCUGCUCGGGGUGGGUGGUCCUUGUGCGUUUGUUUUUUUCCUGGUCUUUUAUUUUGCGCUUUUGCUUCGUUUUUUGUCGGGCACGGUUUUCUCUGCUUUGUGCUUUUUGUUGAUGUUUUUUGUUUUUCUGCGUUCGUAAGCCGGGAUUAUUUAGGGGUGAUGGUGAGGCCGGAACUUCUGAAAUAAUUCUAACUCCGCUUAUGAACGCUGGGUCCUUUAGACGAGCACUCUUUUUCCUCUUUAAGGUUUCCCUGGUUGGGUUUUACUUAAAGAGGUUUUAAUGAGGCUCGGCCCUUAGUCUGCUCUCUUGUGCUUUCAAGGGUUCUUUCUAGGUUUUUUCUCUUUUCUUCUUUUAAUAAAAUUCCAAUUUAAUAAUUCAUCCACCUCCAAAAUCAUUUACAGAGAAGAGCCAAAUUAAAAGAUUUUAGAGCACCCGCAAUCGGGCUCGGAUAUUGGGCACGACCUCUCUUGCGUGCCACUCCCCAUUGCCGAGCCUUGGGCUCGCGCGCCCGGCUCACCCCAGCACACCGGGGUCAGACGGUAUUUUAGGUAGGCGCGUGCAACGCACCGCCUACCUAAAAAAAACUUUUAACUAUUUUUAAUUAUUUUUUAUAUAAAAAUCAUUUAAAAUUUUAAUUUUAACUAAAUGUAGUUUUACUAUUUAUUGUGUACUACAUACACAUGAUAGAAAAUCCUACAUUUUUUAAUGUGGGAUUCAAUACUCAACUUAAUGUAGCCUCACUUUUUAUAGUGUACUACACAUUGUAGAGAAUCCUAUAUUUUUCAAUGUGAGAUUUAAUAAUCAACUUAAUGUAGCUUCAAAAUAAUCCUACAUUUAAUUCUAAUUUUUAAUUAUUAUUUAUAUUGUAAUUUUAUUUUAUUUUUCAAUCAAUGUAGUUUUAGAUUUUUAUUUUAAUAAUGAAAUUUAAGUUGUUAAAUUUAAUGUUAAUUUUAUUUUUCAAUCGGUCGUUUGGCCCUUUUGUUUAUUUAUUUUUCAAUCAAUGUAUGGUUAAUUUUUAAAUUUAAUGAAAUUUGAGUUGUUAAAUUUAAAGUAAAAUUUAAUUAAAAACAACAAUAAAUUUAAAAAAAUGAAAAAAGAAAUUAGAGAGCCAAGGGGUGGCUCUCCCAUUGUGGAGAGUGGGCUCAAAAAUGUGGGGACCACAUUUAAGAGCCCACCCUUAGCUCUCCAUUGUGGAUGCUAUUAGAUCACUAACCCCAAGACCACCAUCAUUCCUAUUUCUACACACUUUAUCCCGACUCACCCAAGAGAUUUUCUAGUUUAAUUUUAAAAUAGGAGUUUUGGUAAAUAAAAUCACGAAUUAUUUUGAAUUUGCAAUUUUAACGUGAUUUUUAAAGUGUAGCGAAUCAAAUCAUCGUCUUUUCAAUUUUUGCAAUUCCAUCCACGUAAUUUUUUUUCGAUCGCCAGAGUGUUGAAUUGGAGUUUACGUGGAUUAGUAAAGACAUCGUCGUUUUUUUAGACUUAAACCACGCUGUUUCAUACAAUUUCAACAAAAAAAAUUCUAGAUUAUAAAAGGAUUGUAUCCUGUAUUUGCACCAUAAUUUUCAAUAUUUAACAAUUGUAUAGAAAACAACGCCAUAAUAUUUUCAAUAUUCAAUAAUUUUAUACUCCUAGAAAACAACGCCGUAACAUUAAUAUUACGUGACGAAUUAAUCCAUGUAAACUCCAACUCAACAAUUCGAUGACCGAAAAAAUUUGAGGGACGAAAUUACAAAAUUUAAAAAUAUAAUGAUUUAAUUUAUCACACUUUAAAAAUCACGUUAAAAAUAGUUGUUGAUUUUAUUUUCCAAAACCCUUUAAAAUAUUCGUACAUGAUACAAAUCGUGUCAGUAACAACAUUGAAAGUUUUCUGAUGAAGCUUGCUUGGAAAGUUAUCAAAGAAACUGAGUUUGGUUAUGAUCUGAUGCAUAACCAUUAUUUGAAUGCUCAUAGCCGUAUUUCCUCUAAUACGGCGUCCUCUUCCAUCUGGCUGGGCAUACGUGACGAGAUUGAUGGCAUCGUGGACGAUACUUAUUGUCAUGUGGGGUCUGGACAUUUGACUAAUUUUUGGUUGGACGAUUGGCUUGGUUACGUUAUUGCCGAGAAAUGUGGCCUUCAUGCGUUUUUAAAGCCUUCUUUUUCGGUGGCCGACUACUUCUUUGAGGGUGUGUGACAUUUUACUCAGGAGUUUGUCAAUGACUACCCGGAGAUUGUUUGCGACAAUUUUGCUUAUUUCGAUCGGGGAGGAGGAAGAUACGAGAUUUUGGAAACCUGCUACUCAUGGCGAUGUGACGGCCAAACUGGCAUUUAGACAUCAUGGGCAGCGGCAUCCUUCGGUGUUGUGGGGGAAAUGGAUUUGGGCCGAUUUUAUUCAUGACAGAAGAUCCAUCUUUUGUUGGCGCAUUAUUCAUAACCGCCUUCCUACUUUUGAUAGGCUUAUUAAGCACGGGAUGAUCAUGCCUAAUUACUGCAUUUUUUGCUACAAGCAAGCUGAAACGAUUGAUCACAUUCUAUGGAAGUGCAGCCAGGUAGAGUCUUUAUGGAAAGAUUUUUUCACUUGGUUUAACUAUAAACAUGCUCUUUCUCUUCCGGACAUUCAUAGCAUGUUGGUGGACUCUUGGAACAGAAAACUUAGUUCACAAAUUGGAGCUUACUGGAAGCUUGGCAUUAUUACCAUGUUAUGGGCUAUUUGGAAUGCACGUAACAACUGCAUCUUCGAGAAUAUUAUGUGGAAUAGAAUUCCUAUCGUUAAGUUUCUUCGCUCCACUUUUCUUGAGACGGAGGCUGUCUUUCCUAGCAUGGGCCAUAUUUAUAAUGAUUGGAAGGACUAUAUUAUCCUGAGGCAGCUUGGGGUUGCCUCCCGGGCAACUCCUCCCCUGAAAUCAUUAACGUCCAUUGGUGGCCACCAAAUGCUCAUUGGAUAAAGGUGAAUACCGACGGCUCGGCCUUGGGUGCGCCCGGUAAAAUUUCGGUUGGGGGUGUGUUUCGGGAUAAUUGGGCUUGGGUUCGUGGCUGCUUUCACAUUAAAUGAGGUAUUGGAUAUGCUUUUGAGGCUGAGCUCCUUGCUACCAUUUAUGCUAUCCGUAUUGCUCAUCGUCGUGGUUGGUUACAUCUUUGGGUGGAGUCGGAUUCGGCUUACAUUGUCCACAUUCUUCAUAGCCGUUCCACCUCGGUUCCUUGGAGGUAUUUUGCUGCUUGGCGGGAGGUGCUUCGUUUACUUGGAGAUUUUAAUCUUCAAAUAACUCAUAUCUAUCGUGAGGAGAAUAAGGCAACUGAUAUUAUGGCUAAUGACAGCAAAGAUGAGGGGUGGUGGCCUCAUGAAGCAUGUAGUCCGUAUGGAUAUGGCGGUUCAUAGUCAUCUCUGCAUCAAGCUUUAACUUAAGAGUGCGGUGGUCCCGGGGCUGCCGUGGGUUUCUCUUUGGUGUUGUGGGUUGGAUGUUGUCAGUUUUCCUUUGUCAACUUUCGGGCGAGCUCGAAGUUGGGAAUUUGGUUUCGUCUGUUUGGAUGCCCAGCAGCACUUCUUGCUGCCGUUGUGGUUUUGUCUUCUAUUCCUCUGAUCUUGUCGUUGAAGAGAGGAGUAUUCAUGUGUCUUACAUGUUUUUUCAUAGUUUCGUUUCUGGGUUUCUGUCUCAACGGUUUAGUCGUGCAGCUGUCGGGUGUUGGUGCUUGGUCAGGAUUUGGGUGGCUGGGUUUUUCUUCAAACGAGUGGCAGGUCCUGCUCAGUCCCGUCUCCCUGUUGGCGUGGGGCGGGAUUGCUGCAGGUUCUUUCAGCAGGUUCCGGGGUGCUGGCGUUCUCGCUAGCCUUUGGUCGAUAGAUGGGUUUGGGGGAGAUUUGGUUUCAUUUGGUCUCACUUGGGGGGUUUGCUCACUGUGUACUUUUCUCAAGCAGUUGGAGGGUAUUUUUUUUCUUAUAAGUUUUUACUUUUCGUUUGAUGGCUUUAUUUUUUUUCUUAUAAGUUUUUACUUUUCUUUGA
rnacentral:lncRNA from 1 species